UUGGAUGGUAGUGUAUUGGACUACCAUGGCAAUGACGGGUGACGGAGAAUUAGGGUUCGAUUCCGGAGGGGGAGCCUGAGAAACGGCUACCACAUCUAAGGAAGGCAGCAGGCGCGCAAAUUACCCAAUCCUAACUCAGGGAGGUAGUGACAAGAAAUAACAAUGCGGGGCUAUGUCUCGCAAUUGGAAUGAGAACAAUGUAAAAGCCUUAACGAGGAUCCACUGGAGGGCAAGUCUGGUGCCAGCAGCCGCGGUAAUACCAGCUCCAGUAGCGUAUAUUAAAGUUGUUGCAGUUAAAAAGCUCGUAGUUGAAAUUCUGUACGGAACGACGUCUUCGGAUGAUCGAGCCGUGCAUCCGCCUGAGCAGCAUGCUGGUACUUUGUUGCCGGUAUGUGAUCAGGCACUUUACCUUGAGCAAAUUAGAGUGUUCCAGGCAGGCGUCAGCCUGAAUGGUCCAGCAUGGAAUAAUAGAAGAGGACUGAAAACCACCGUUGGUGUUGUGGUAAUCAGUAAUGAUUAAUAGGGAUAGUUGGGGGCAUUCGUAUUUAAUUGUCAGAGGUGAAAUUCUAUGAUUUAUUAAAGACGAACCUAUGCGAAAGCAUUUGCCAAGGAUGUUUUCAUUAAUCAAGAACGAAAGUUAAGGGAUCAAAGACGAUCAGAUACCGUC
rnacentral:rRNA from 1 species